rnacentral:rRNA from 1 species
AGCAGCCGCGGUAAUUCCAGCUCCAAUAGCGUAUAUUAAAGUUGUUGCAGUUAAAAAGCUCGUAGUUGAAUUUCGGGAUCGACGGGUCGGUCGCGCCUCCGGUGUGUACUGGCCCUGUCGGUUUCUCCCUUCUGACGAACCACGAUGUCAUUAAUUUGAUGUCGUGGGAAAUCAGGACUGUUACUUUGAAAAAAUUAGAGUGUUUAAAGCAGGCAUUCGCUUGAAUACAUUAGCAUGGAAUAAUGAAAUAGGACGUUUGAUCUUAUUUUGUUGGUUUCUAAGAUCGACGUAAUGAUUAAUAGGGAUAGUUGGGGGCAUUAGUAUUCAAUUGUCAGAGGUGAAAUUCUUGGAUUUAUUGAAGACUAACUACUGCGAAAGCAUUUGCCAAGGAUGUUUUCAUUAAUCAAGAACGAAAGUUAGGGGAUCGAAGACGAUCAGAUACCGUCGUAG